AAGUCGUAACAAGGUUUCCGUAGGUGAACCUGCGGAAGGAUCAUUACCUUUCAUGGCAUAUUUAAUAGCUUGUCUGGGGGCUAGCAGUUUCUGCAGUCUCUGACUACAUCCGUGUUUUUUGCCGCUAACUAUAUGUUUCCUCGGCGGGCUUGCCUUGCCGGUUGGACAAACUAAGACUCUUUGCAAUUGCAAUCAGCGUCUGAAUUAUAUAAUGAAUUACAA
rnacentral:misc_RNA from 1 species